UAACACAUGCAAGUCGAGCGGGCGUAAAAAUACGUCAGCGGCAGACGGGUGAGUAACGCGUGGGAACGUACCUUUUGGUUCGGAACAACACAGGGAAACUUGUGCUAAUACCGGAUAAGCCCUUACGGGGAAAGAUUUAUCGCCGAAAGAUCGGCCCGCGUCUGAUUAGCUAGUUGGUGAGGUAAUGGCUCACCAAGGCGACGAUCAGUAGCUGGUCUGAGAGGAUGAUCAGCCACAUUGGGACUGAGACACGGCCCAA
rnacentral:rRNA from 1 species